rnacentral:rRNA from 1 species
CGGUGCGCCAACCUCGUAGAGGCGAGCCGCCGUAAAGAGUGACUGGUGACUGGGGUG